rnacentral:rRNA from 1 species
AACGAACGCUGGCGGCAUGCCUAACACAUGCAAGUCGAACGAGACCUUCGGGUCUAGUGGCGCAAGGGUGCGUAACGCGUGGGAACCUGCCCUUAGGUUCGGAAUAACUCCCCGAAAGGGGUGCUAAUACCGGAUAAUGUCUUCGGACCAAAGAUUUAUCGCCUUUGGAUGGGCCCGCGUUGGAUUAGCUAGUUGGUAGGGUAAAAGCCUACCAAGGCGACGAUCCAUAGCUGGUCUGAGAGGAUGAUCAGCCACACUGGGACUGAGACACGGCCCAGACUCCUACGGGAGGCAGCAGUGGGGAAUAUUGGACGAUGGGCGAAAGCCUGAUCCAGCAAUGCCGCGUGAGUGAUGAAGGCCUUAGGGUUGUAAAGCUCUUUUACCCGGGAUGAUAAUGACAGUACCGGGAGAAUAAGCUCCGGCUAACUCCGUG